GUGCUCACUUCAGCAGCACAUAUACUAAAACUGGAGUGAUACAGAGGAGAUGAGAAUGGCCCCUGCGCAAGGAUGACAUGCAAAUUCAUGCCAGGUUUCAUACUACG
ensembl:snRNA U6 U6 spliceosomal RNA